UCCUACGGGAGGCAGCAGUGAGGAAUAUUGGUCAAUGGCCGAGAGGCUGAACCAGCCAAGUCGCGUGAGGGAUGACGGCCCUACGGGUUGUAAACCUCUUUUGUCGGAGAACAAAACCCGGGACGAGUCCCGGACUGCGUGUAUCCGAAGAAAAAGCAUCGGCUAACUCCGUGCCAGCAGCCGCGGUAAUAUGGAGGAUGCGAGCGUUAUCCGGAUUUAUUGGGUUUAAAGGGUGCGUAGGCGGUCCGUUAAGUCAGCGGUAAAAUUGCGGGGCUCAACCCCGUCGAGCCGUUGAAACUGGCAGG
rnacentral:rRNA from 1 species